UCAUCACUGAAUGUAACAAUUAGGGGCCAGCCUCCCCCUUGAGCUGAAGCUGCUGCUGCCCAGGGCCAAUGUCAGGAGUGGGCUACAAGGGACAGACUACGUCACCCUGUGGACCCGUUCUGGUUCUAAUGCUCUGUGAUUACUGCAGCCCUGCCCCUCUCUGAAGAUCUGAAAAUGCUAACCAUCUGUUCCCUUUGGAGCUGCUCUGGGAAGGAGGAGCAGGGUGGAAACCACCUUACCAUCAGAAAACCUACACGCAACUUCGGGAGUAGGAUGAGCGGCUGUCUACACCACACUGGCUUUUCACGCGUGUGGAUUUGUCUCCUCUAACACUGGCUCUGCACCUGCAGGUUGUCUAACCUUUGGCAAGCGCCUUGACGGGCCAAGCCUCAGUUUCCGCCUCUGUGACAUGUGGAUAAAAACAGCCCCCGCCUCAAGGAGGGUGAGGAGAAACGCAGAUGCCCUCUCUGCGCUCUGCUGCUUCCUAGCACCUGCCACCCAAUCUGUAAUUACCCGGUAUCUUCGAUUCCUCUUGGCUGUCCUCGUCACUAACAGGGAGGCGUCUCGGGCAGGGAAGGUCGGUCGGGUAGAAGGCGGACGCGCAGCGCUUGGGACAG